rnacentral:rRNA from 1 species
GAUGAACGCUGGCGGCGUGCCUAAUACAUGCAAGUCGAGCGAACGGACGAGAAGCUUGCUUCUCUGAUGUUAGCGGCGGACGGGUGAGUAACACGUGGAUAACCUACCUAUAAGACUGGGAUAACUUCGGGAAACCGGAGCUAAUACCGGAUGAUAUUUUGAACCGCAUGGUUCAAAAGUGAAAGACGGUCUUGCUGUCACUUAUAGAUGGAUCCGCGCUGCAUUAGCUAGUUGGUAAGGUAACGGCUUACCAAGGCAACGAUGCAUAGCGGACCUGAGAGGGUGAUCGGCCACACUGGAACUGAGACACGGUCCAGACUCCUACGGGAGGCAGCAGUAGGGAAUCUUCCGCAAUGGGCGAAAGCCUGACGGAGCAACGCCGCGUGAGUGAUGAAGGUCUUCGGAUCGUAAAACUCUGUUAUUAGGGAAGAACAUAUGUGUAAGUAACUGUGCACAUCUUGACGGUACCUAAUCAGAAAGCCACGGCUAGCUACGUG